ACAAAUAUUUAGGAACGGAGGGAGUACUUUCGAGUAAAUUGUUGGUAUAUAGUAAGUACAGUGCUGCUAUCCCGUUUUGCUCAGAAUUUACUCUGUAGAACCACAGUGCAUGAUAACAUGAACAAAAAUAUUGAUAUAUGUGGCAUGUUGAUUUUACUCCAUGACCACAGGGGAGAACAAAAAUAGAUGUACAAGCAAGCUGAAAACAAGAAGGAAAUUGAGUUGCUUUCCAUGGUUCACUCACCAUUGUUCUUAGUCCAUAAGAUAGAGCUUCAGGCUUGGUUCAAAAUCACAUCCAUGCUUAGUUUCUUACCAUCUACUUAUUGCUUGGUUAUUUAUCUGCCUAUUUUAUUGUUAUACUAGCAGACAUUCUCACAAAUCUUGCCCAAUGUUUUGACAUUUUCAGUACCUUUUCAUUGGCUAUUUCUUUGAAGCUUGAAUUACAAAAAGGAUAAAGGAGAAAUAUUGUGUACCAUGAGAGUGGGAGCACAAAAUCGUUUGGAGAUUUAUGAUG